GGCAGUGGUGGCCUAGCGGUUAAGUCUCUGGGUUACUGAUUCAGAAGGUCUGGGGUUCAAGUCCCAGCACUGCCA